UUCCGGUUGAUCCUGCCGGACCUGACUGCUAUCGGAUUGAUACUAAGCCAUGCGAGUCAUUGUAGCAAUACAAGGCAGACGGCUCAGUAACGCGUAGUCAACCUAACCUAUGGACGGGAAUAACCUCGGGAAACUGAGAAUAAUGCCCGAUAGAACACUAUACCUGGAAUGGUUUGUGUUCCAAAUGAUUUAUCGCCGUAGGAUGGGACUGCGGCCUAUCAGUUUGUUGGUGAGGUAAUGGCCCACCAAGACUAUUACAGGUACGGGCUCUGAGAGGAGUAGCCCGGAGAUGGGUACUGAGACACGGACCCAGGCCCUAUGGGGCGCAGCAGGCGAGAAAACUUUGCAAUGUGCGAAAGCACGACAAGGUUAAUCCGAGUGAUUUGUGCUAAACGAAUCUUUUGUUAGUCCUAGAACCACUAACGAAUAAGGGGUGGGCAAGUUCUGGUGUCAGCCGCCGCGGUAAAACCAGCACCUCAAGUGGUCAGGAUGAUUAUUGGGCCUAAAGCAUCCGUAGCCGGCUCUGUAAGUUUUCGGUUAAAUCUGUACGCUUAACGUACAGGCUGCCGGGAAUACUGCAGAGCUAGGGAGUGGGAGAGGUAGACGGUACUCGGUAGGAAGGGGUAAAAUCCUUUGAUCUAUUGAUGACCACCUGUGGCGAAGGCGGUCUACCAGAACACGUCCGACGGUGAGGGAUGAAAGCUGGGGGAGCAAACCGGAUUAGAUACCCGGGUAGUCCCAGCUGUAAACUAUGCAAACUCAGUGAUGCAUUGACUUGUGGUCAAUGCAGUGCUGCAGGGAAGCCGUUAAGUUUGCCGCCUGGGAAGUACGUACGCAAGUAUGAAACUUAAAGGAAUUGGCGGGGGAGCACCACAAGGGGUGAAGCCUGCGGUUCAAUUGGACUCAACGCCGGU
rnacentral:rRNA from 1 species